UACGAAGGGUGCAAGCGUUACUCGGAAUUACUGGGCGUAAAGCGUGCGUAGGUGGUCGUUUAAGUCCGUUGUGAAAGCCCUGGGCUCAACCUGGGAACUGCAGUGGAUACUGGACGACUAGAAUGUGGUAGAGGGUAGCGGAAUUCCUGGUGUAGCAGUGAAAUGCGUAGAGAUCAGGAGGAACAUCCAUGGCGAAGGCAGCUACCUGGACCAACAUUGACACUGAGGCACGAAAGCGUGGGGAGCAAACAGG
rnacentral:rRNA from 1 species